rnacentral:rRNA from 1 species
UGGGGAAUAUUGCACAAUGGGGGAAACCCUGAUGCAGCAACGCCGCGUGCGGGAUGACGGCCUUCGGGUUGUAAACCGCUUUCAGCCAUGACGAAGCUUUUGUGACGGUAGUGGCAGAAGAAGCACCGGCUAACUACGUGCCAGCAGCCGCGGUGAUACGUAGGGUGCGAGCGUUGUCCGGAAUUAUUGGGCGUAAAGAGCUUGUAGGCGGUUUGUCGCGUCGAAAGUGUAAACUCAGUGCUUAACGCUGAGCCUGCUUUCGAUACGGGCUGACUAGAGGAAAGUAGGGGAGAAUGGAAUUCACGGUGGAGCGGUAGAAGGCGCAGAUAGCGGGAGGGACACCAGUGGCGAAGGAGGUUCUCUGGACCUUUCCUGACUCUGAGAAGCGAAAGCGUGCGUAGCAAACAGA